ensembl:lncRNA
GUUCAAUGCAUAAUAUUAAUCAAAUAGUGUGAAUUGUGAAAGGGAGGUCAUUUGUCAAUGACUGCAAAAAUGAAGCAGUGAGUUCAGUGCUUAUACUCCAGGUGUCAAGCAGUGAUUGGCCAGACCUAUUAAUAUGAAUGAAUGAUGUGGCAUUAGAGCCUUUCUAGCAGUACUUAUGCUUAAAGCUUCAUUUCUCUGUUUCCACAUACAGGCCUCAAGUCAAGUUUCUUAUCUAGGAAGAAGAGAAGCAGAAGAACAGCAUCCAAAAUGAGUGUGUAUGAGGAGAGAGAAUAUGAGGCUCACUGUUGACACUCCAGCAUCUCCAGGAUUCAGCUGUGUCUAUGAAGAGUAACAUCUCCAUGAAUCAGCCCCCUUAUCUCAGUGAUGUUGACGCUCAGAGAGCAGCAUCUCCAGGAUUCAGCUGUGUGUCUAUGAAGAGCAACAGAUCCAUGUUGCUGCCCCCUGAUCUCAGUGGUUUUGACCCUCAGAGAGCAGCAUCUCCAGUAUUCAGCUGUGUGUCUAUGAAGAGCAACAGAUCCAUGGGUAUGCCCCCUGAUCUCAGUGGUUUUGACCCUCAAAGAGCAGUAUCUUCAGGAUUCAGCUGUGUGUCUAUGAAGAGCAACAAAUCCAUGGGUAUGCCCCCUGAUCUCAGUGGUUUUGACCCUCAGAGAGCAGCAUCUCCAGGAUUCAGCUGUGUGUCUAUGAAGAGCAACAGAUUCAUGGGUAUGCCCCCUGAUCUUAGUGGUUUUGACCCUCAGAGAGCAGCAUCUCCAGUAUUCAGCUGUGUGUCUAUGAGGAGCAACAGAUCCAUGUUGCUGCCCCCUGAUCUCAGUGGUUUUGACCCUCAGACAGCAGCAUCUCCAGUAUUCAGCUGUGUGUCUAUGAGGAGCAACAGAUCCAUGUUGCUGCCCCCUGAUCUCAGUGGUUUUGACCCUCAGACAGCAGCAUCUCCAGUAUUCAGCUGUGUGUCUAUGAGGAGCAACAGAUCCAUGUUGCUGCCCCCUGAUCUCAGUGGUUUUGACCCUCAGAGAGCAGCAUCUUCAGGAUUCAGCUGUGUGCCUAUGAAGAGCAACAAAUCAAUAGAUAUGCCCCCUGAUCUCAGUGGUUUUGACCCUCAGAGAGCAGCAUCUCCAGCAUUCAGCUGUGUGUCUAUGAAGAGCAACAGAUCCAUGGGUAUGCCCCCUGAUCUCAGUGGUUUUGACGCUCAGAGAGCAGCAUCUCCAGUAUUCAGCUGUGUGUCUAUGAAGAGCAACAGAUCCAUGGGUAUGCCCCCUGAUCUCAGUAGUUUUGACGCUCAGAGAGCAGCAUCUACAGAAUCUAUCUUUAACCCUGUUACCAUCAGCAGGAAGAGAAAGAGAGCAUCUUCUCCACUGCAGCCACCUGAUCUCAGUGAUGGAUCAGAGCCUUUUGAUUCUGUGUGAGUAUAUUCAUGUAGAGUGAGACUUUCAACACAAGAGCAAAUAAUAUACACAGAAAU